rnacentral:rRNA from 1 species
UACGAAGGGGGCUAGCGUUGCUCGGAAUCACUGGGCGUAAAGGGCGCGUAGGCGGCCAUUCAAGUCAGAGGUGAAAGCCCAAGGCUCAACCUUGGAAUUGCCUUUGAUACUGUUUGGCUUGAGACCGGAAGAGGUAAGUGGAACUGCGAGUGUAGAGGUGAAAUUCGUAGAUAUUCGCAAGAACACCAGUGGCGAAGGCGGCUUACUGGUCCGGUUCUGGACGCUGAGGCGCGAAAGCGUGGGGAGCAAACAGG